rnacentral:lncRNA from 1 species
CAGCCAGGUCUGAAACAGUGAUUCCAUCACAAUGCCCCGAAUGGGACCCCAAUGACAAUAAUGGUAGGAGGAGGCUGGGGACCUACCACCAGCACUUAUUAGGGGGACUCCAGACAGCGGCCAAAAAGCCCACUAAUUUGAGUAAGUCUCUUCAAGCCUUACAGAUUCUUCAGAGUGAGAUCUGGACUACAAAACAACAUGCUCAGAAAAAAAAAAAAAAAACAAAAACCUUUGUGACGUUCCAGCCUCACAGUUUCAAGCCAGAAGACCAGGUUCUGAUAAGCUUGCUUUGCUUGCACCAAGGACUUGACUAAAUACAUUCCCAAAUCAGUUUUGGCUACCCGAUCUGCCACUUUAUUUUGUGUCACCAUCAAUCGACUGGGAACCCCUGCCAACUAGAGGCCUCUCUUUCCAUGCGGUGCCCUCGACGACGGGUCCCCUUAAAGUCUGGAUCUCCUCUCUCAGGAAGAAAGCAGUUCCACUUAAGUCACCAGCUC